GGAGAGUUUGAAUCUCUCGGUGUUGGGCAGAUAUACGAUCUUCGAGGAGGAUUGCUUGGUGAGCCCUGGAAGAACCGCCGACGGAAGAUGAGUGAGAAAGACGAUGAUGGGCUCGACGAUCAUCAGGCGGGCUUCGGCUCAACGGAACUUCGCGUCGUUUCAAGGCAUUCGGCUGAUGGCUUCGUCCGGACAUGCCUGUGGAUAGUGCGUU
rnacentral:misc_RNA from 1 species